GCUGCCACAUCAGAGAAUAAAUGCGAAGGAAGAAAGAGACUGCUCUCUGGUACGAACAGCUCUGCAGUUUUGUAUUUUCACAUAGCAAAUGUGCUAUUCUAUUCACGUGUAAAAUAUUGUAUAUUAAACUUUUAAGUUGAUUUUAUCUCUCUGCAUAUAAUCCCCUUUCCAAAAAAGUUGGAAAUCAAAUGAAAAUACAAUAAUGUGUGAGACAAAUUUCUAUAGAAAUGUUAUUAUAAUUUAUUUGAAUAAUAUUCACUCAUUUUGAAUAUAUGACGCCAACACAUUGUUAGGGUGUGUUGAAAUGGCUCAAACAAAAAAAGUUGAGGUUUUUAAAGUUUUUUAGCAGCAAAGAUGGAAAUUUUAUAAUCAGAGGUGGACCAAAAAACCCAGAUUCAAAAUGUCUAGAGACAUGUUUCUUCAUGAAGGACAAGAUCAGAAACCAAAAUGGAAUAGUCACCAUCUGGAAACCUCAGACAGCACUGCGUUAAAUACAAAUAUGAUUCUGUGAUAAAUUCUUUUAUUGCGCUGCUGUCUCAUAAAACCCAAUAUACAGUACAUACCCAGGCAUAAUGAAAACAGAAUGUCUGGGCUCCUGUUAAGCGCUCCACUU